rnacentral:rRNA from 1 species
UUCGUUCCGGCUCUCGUUGCAGGAUUGCGUUGCAGGGGUUGUUGGAGCCGAAGCGAGAGGGUGAGGGCGGGGCGGGGCGGGGCGUGUGCAAGGUAGGUUGUGCAGCGGCGGCAGCGGUACCGGUGGUACAGGGCGAGGCCGAUGCCGAGGCUGCUGCUUCUGAGGUGCGGCCGCUACGCGGCGGAGGCGGCGGAGAGGGAGGUGGAGGAUGUCGGGAGGCUAGCCGGGCGGAGGCUCCCCCGAUUACGGGACCGGGGGCGGCGCACGCGCCCCUUCGCCGCCCGCCCCCCGGACCUGCACCUGCGCCGUCGGGAGUGGCGGAUGGACGCCCCCGCCGUGGACCGCUGCGUCCUCGCCAAUAUGUCCAAGAAGCAGCUCGCCGGCCUCGAGGUGUGCGGGCAGCUCGACGGGUACCGGCGGGUGGCGCUCGAGACGAAGGCCGUCUACUGCCGCGAGCAAGCGCUCCGGCCCCACGCCGGCGAGUCGGAGUACCGUCUGCUGGGGCUGCUCAUGAAGCGGCAGUACCUCCGGCAGCCGCCCGAGCUGUAGAGGGAGCGGCAGUUCAAGCCGCAUGUCAUGUCAGAAACCCCACCAAGAUAUUAUUUAAACCCUUGGUUCUUCGUGUCCCUUUUCAUGAAACUGUUUUAGCUAUUAAACCUAAUAGGUCCGACAAAACGAUACUGUCUUGACGUAGUACCUAGGUUACAAGUUCGGGAUGUCUGGUGACGAUGUAAACUAAGUCAAUGACUACUCAAGUAAUAACUAUGUGGUUUGUUACCUCGGUAAUUCACCACCUAACCGUUGAGUCGAGAAGUACCUUUUAAGCGAUGACAAAAACGCUCCAAUUAAAAUGGCGAAGUUCCUUUUCCUCCCCUUGGACGACUGUACCCUUAAGUACGUAAAUAACAGGGUUAAGCCCUGGAACUUUGGGUACGACAAGAAGGACCUUAACUCUAGUUACUAACACCCGUGUUCUAUCCGGAUUUACCACAUCUAUUACCACGGGACUCUAAGGCAAGGCAAUCCUAUGGGGCACUGUUAGAAGACUUGGCUAAGCCACUACACCGCGCUCUACCUUUUAUGUGUUCGUCAGAGGGGUGUUAAUUAUUUUCUAAACGUCGUUGGGAACCACUCGAACAGCCCCCUGCUCAAUCAGAACGUAUAUCAAGACACCCUUAUGAGUUUCAACGUCAUUGGUAACGACAAUCUAUACGAAAUGACGCAGUUGUUAAACCAGGUGGAUUCGUCGGACUUUAGUCACACGACCUAAUGGUUAGAGUGGUCGUGUUUGAUUACGGAUACAACCGUAGUCGUAUACGUAAAGUAAAACGGUCCGUCAUAAACCAUCUAUUCAUGAGCCUUUACUUCUUUUGGUUACUGCUCCUAUAAUCGCGACUACAGGUACAUGAAAGUAGACCCAACUUCAGGAUGUAUUGAAGUAUGUGUCGUUUUAGAUAAUCGUAUACGGCUCUUAGAACACCACCGGUACCCAUACGACGACAUUUAGCAAAACCACCAGACGCCUUACUGGUACUAUAUAAAGUUUGUAAACUUCCUCUGUUAUGUCAAGACGACGUCGUCCAACGACCGCUAGAGGACUUCGUUAUAGUCGUUUUUAAAUUCCCUCCUUGUGAGAGUCAGUGGACCUUGAUGAACUCUCUGAGGUACUCGUGGAUGAACAGAGUCGGAUUGGGGCAAUGACGAGCCACCCUUCCCCUUCUGGUAGAUUCCCUAGGAUUUAAAGUCGACCUACGUAAGUCUAUGGCUUGUAGAUCUGAUGACGUAUCACAACGACGAGCUGAGGUCUUCGUGUACUUCUGUGAACCUCCAAAACCACGUACCUUGUCUACAAAUUUGGUAGACGAGUGCGAGCGCCUUAGUGUGCAACUCCGACAGUAGGAGCGUUCCAAAUAUCUUCGUCACUUCUCGACGGGACUACGUUUUUGUGCACUUCAUGACUUCGACCACACGCUGGAAAUACGCGAGCUAUCCUAGACCUUUCUGUAGCCCUGUAUAGCCUUACAUCUGAUACAGCGCGGUUUGUUUCGGUUCCGAUAGGUGUUUGACCAUCUGAUGGAGUCAAUGGUUCACUCCGAACAACGAGCUCUUGAGCAGCUGCGGAAACUAGAAGGUCUACUUCAGUAGGCACGCGGUUAGCCGUACGUUAGCCUCCGGAUGCGAGUCAUAUGCGUCACACAGCCGAAGAUCUGUUUGUUUGUUUGUUGUAUCCGGAUGGUAUAAGAUGACGUUCGGGUCUGGCAAUCAGUUCUUCAAUAUAUAUUUGUCUGAAGAUAAUGGAGACAGGGUUUUUCGAACAGAAUCUAAAUAGAUCUAUACCUAUAUAGAUUGUGAUUUUGUACAGAUCUAUUUAGGCAUAGAACUGUUUAGAUUCUGUUCGAAAAACCCUGCCUCCCUCACAGUAUAUAGGUUGUAUCAUUUAGCUCACAUAUUAUUCUAUUCAUUAUCUGUACUCUACACAUAUUCACUAUUAUAACACUUGUUAAAAACAGUCGACACAAAACCGUCGUUGAGAAACUUAUUUCGAGCAACGUGCACUCUUUAAGACAUCGA